CAUCUUUCGCAAUUGCCCGCCCUCGCCUAUAUAAAGGGGCGUCGGGCUCGCCCGACUAUGGCAAUAAACGUUUUGCGCAAUAAACGUUCGGACCCGGGGGCAGUACCCGGCGCCUCCACCAUUUCUUAGAAGUUUGCGCGGCAGCCGUCGCGACCGGAAUGGGGGCGAAACAGGAUCGACGGGCGCGUAAAGGCUCAACUUUUGCCCGGCAUGGUA
rnacentral:tmRNA from 1 species